rnacentral:tRNA from 1 species
GAGCCAUUAGCUCAGUUGGUAGAGCACCUGACUUUUAAUCAGGGUGUCGAAGGUUCAAG